rnacentral:rRNA from 1 species
AGAGUUUGAUCCUGGCUCAGGACGAACGCUGGCGGCGCGCCUAACACAUGCAAGUCGAACGAGAGAGAAGGAGCUUGCUUCUUCGAUCGAGUGGCGAACGGGUGAGUAACGCGUGAGGAACCUGCCUCAAAGAGGGGGACAACAGUUGGAAACGACUGCUAAUACCGCAUAAGCCCACGGGUCGGCAUCGACCAGAGGGAAAAGGAGCAAUCCGCUUUGAGAUGGCCUCGCGUCCGAUUAGCUAGUUGGUGAGGUAACGGCCCACCAAGGCGACGAUCGGUAGCCGGACUGAGAGGUUGAACGGCCACAUUGGGACUGAGACACGGCCCAGACUCCUACGGGAGGCAGCAGUGGGGAAUAUUGCACAAUGGGGGAAACCCUGAUGCAGCGACGCCGCGUGGAGGAAGAAGGUCUUCGGAUUGUAAACUCCUGUUGUUGAGGAAGAUAAUGACGGUACUCAACAAGGAAGUGACGGCUAACUACGUGCCAGCAGCCGCGGUAAAACGUAGGUCACAAGCGUUGUCCGGAAUUACUGGGUGUAAAGGGAGCGCAGGCGGGAAGACAAGUUGGAAGUGAAAUCCAUGGGCUCAACCCAUGAACUGCUUUCAAAACUGUUUUUCUUGAGUAGUGCAGAGGUAGGCGGAAUUCCCGGUGUAGCGGUGGAAUGCGUAGAUAUCGGGAGGAACACCAGUGGCGAAGGCGGCCUACUGGGCACCAACUGACGCUGAGGCUCGAAAGUGUGGGUAGCAAACAGGAUUAGAUACCCUGGUAGUCCACACCGUAAACGAUGAUUACUAGGUGUUGGAGGAUUGACCCCUUCAGUGCCGCAGUUAACACAAUAAGUAAUCCACCUGGGGAGUACGACCGCAAGGUUGAAACUCAAAGGAAUUGACGGGGGCCCGCACAAGCAGUGGAGUAUGUGGUUUAAUUCGA